rnacentral:rRNA from 1 species
AUACAGAGGGUGCGAGCGUUAAUCGGAAUUACUGGGCGUAAAGCGAGUGUAGGUGGCUCAUUAAGUCACAUGUGAAAUCCCCGGGCUUAACCUGGGAACUGCAUGUGAUACUGGUGGUGCUAGAAUAUGUGAGAGGGAAGUAUAAUUCCAGGUGUAGCGGUGAAAUGCGUAGAGAUCUGGAGGAAUACCGAUGGCGAAGGCAGCUUCCUGGCAUAAUAUUGACACUGAGAUUCGAAAGCGUGGGUAGCAAACAGGAUUAGAUACCCUGGUAGUCCACGCCGUAAACGAUGUCUACUAGCCGUUGGGGUCCUUGAGACUUUAGUGGCGCAGUUAACGCGAUAAGUAGACCGCCUGGGGAGUACGGCCGCAAGGUUAAA